rnacentral:rRNA from 1 species
ACUAUCCUACGGGGGGCAGCAGGGAAUAUUGCUCAAUGGGGGAAACCCUGAAGCAGCAACGCCGCGUGGAGGAUGAAGGUUUUAGGAUUGUAAACUCCUUUUGUGAGAGAAGAUAAUGACGGUAUCUCACGAAUAAGCACCGGCUAACUCCGUGCCUGCAGCCGCGGUAAUACGGAGGGUGCAAGCGUUACUCGGAAUCACUAGGCGUAAAGAGUGCGCAGGCGGGCUUGGAAGUCAGAUGGGAAAUCCUGUAGCUUAACUACAGAACUGCAUUUGAAGCUAUGAGUCUCG